AGGGCCAUGCCACGUUGAAACAGCAGUUCCCGUACGAUCACAGAAUUUAAGCAACAUCGAUCCUCUUUAGUACUUAGGUGACCGCUUGGGAAGUCUUUGGUGCUGUG